UGUCUAUUAAUUGUAGACCUGUAUGAAUGGCAAAAUGAGGGUUUAACUGUCUCUUAUAAUAAAUCAAUUAAACUGAUCUCCCAGUAAAAAAGCUGGCAUACUCACAUAAGACCAGAAGACCCUGUGAAGCUUAAACUAAACUACUAAACCCCAUAGUAAUUACUUUUGGUUGGGGCGACCUUGGAAAUAAAAAAAACUUCCAAAUAUAAUGACUAUACUCAUAUACCACCCGGCUAACAAGCCUAUAAAUUAGACCCAGCACAGCUGAUAACUGAACCAAGUUACUCCAGGGAUAACAGCGCUAUCUUCUUCAAGAGCCCAUAUCAAAAAGAAGGUUUACGACCUCGAUGUUGGAUCAGGACAUCCUAAUGGUGCA
rnacentral:rRNA from 1 species